rnacentral:snoRNA from 1 species
AUCCCAUGGUGUAGGCACUUUCUCAGCAUAUUCUUGAACCUAUUCCAAGCUUCAUCGAAAUUCUCCAAGUCGCCUUGGCGAAAGACAGAAAUGUUGUGCUUGAGCUU